AGAGUUUGAUCAUGGCUCAGAUUGAACGCUGGCGGCAGGCCUAACACAUGCAAGUCGAGCGGAUGACGGGAGCUUGCUCCUGGAUUCAGUGGCGGACGGGUGAGUAAUGCCUAGGAAUCUGCCUGGUAGUGGGGGACAACGUUUCGAAAGGAACGCUAAUACCGCAUACGUCCUACGGGAGAAAGCAGGGGACCUUCGGGCCUUGCGCUAUCAGAUGAGCCUAGGUCGGAUUAGCUUGUUGGUGAGGUAAUGGCUCACCAAGGCGACGAUCCGUAACUGGUCUGAGAGGAUGAUCAGUCCCACUGGAACUGAGACACGGUCCAGACUCCUACGGGAGGCAGC
rnacentral:rRNA from 1 species